GACUCUUGGAGGGUCACUGAGCCAGUGUACACUGGAAGCCUGAAGAAGAUGGCGUCUGAUAUUAGUGGAGGGCAGCAGCAGCAGCAGCAGCAGCAGCAGCAGCAGCAGCAGCAGCAGCAGCAGCAGCAGCAG
rnacentral:miRNA from 14 species